UACGAAGGGGGCUAGCGUUGCUCGGAAUCACUGGGCGUAAAGCGCACGUAGGCGGAUUGCUAAGUCAGGGGUGAAAUCCUGGAGCUCAACUCCAGAACUGCCUUUGAUACUGGCAACCUUGAGUCCGGGAGAGGUGAGUGGAACUGCGAGUGUAGAGGUGAAAUUCGUAGAUAUUCGCAAGAACACCAGUGGCGAAGGCGGCUCACUGGCCCGAUACUGACGCUGAUGCACGAAAGCGUGGGGAGCAAACAGG
rnacentral:rRNA from 1 species